GACGAACGCUGGCGGCGUGCUUAACACAUGCAAGUCGAACGGAAAGGCCCCUUUGGGGGUACUCGAGUGGCGAACGGGUGAGUAACACGUGAGUAACCUGCCCUUGACUUCGGGAUAACUUCAGGAAACUGGGGCUAAUACCGGAUAGGAAUCCUUGCUGCAUGGUGGGGGUUGGAAAGCUUCGGCGGUUUUGGAUGGACUCGCGGCUUAUCAGCUUGUUGGUGGGGUAGUGGCUUACCAAGGCUUUGACGGGUAGCCGGCCUGAGAGGGCGACCGGCCACAUUGGGACUGGGAUACGGCCCAGACUCCUACGGGAGGCAGCGGUGGGGAAUAUUGCACAAUGGGCGGAAGCCUGAUGCAGCAACGCCGCGUGCGGGAUGACGGCCUUCGGGUUGUAAACCGCUUUCAGCAGGGGCGAAGCUUGUGGUGACGGUACCUGCAGAAGAAGCACCGGCUAACUACGUG
rnacentral:rRNA from 1 species